GUUUGAACUUUCGUGAACUACUCGUUUACAAGGACUGACUUGCAAUGAAGGAGGACCUACUAAUAUUGAGAGGGACAUCUUACCCGAUGAAGUAAUUGAGGAGGAGAUAGAAGGAACGGUGCGCUUGGGGGAGUCCAAAUUUUUCCUGAGCUUUGCUUCCAUCCUAGUCAGUAAUAUCCUGACAUGAGAAGCCCUCUUUGGAGGGUCUGAUCAUCUCCCUCCAUUUCUCAGAGCCAGUUCGCUCUCCUUUGCUCGCUUGUGAACCAGAGACACUGAUCCACGGGGUCCCCAGCUGGCCAGUUUCUCGUUUUUGGCUUAUUUCAAGAGAGAAAUAAAGAAUGUUAUGGUUUAGGUA